GACGAACGCUGGCGGCGUGCCUAAUACAUGCAAGUUGAGCGCUGAAGGUUGGUACUUGUACCAACUGGAUGAGCAGCGAACGGGUGAGUAACGCGUGGGGAAUCUGCCUUUGAGCGGGGGACAACAUUUGGAAACGAAUGCUAAUACCGCAUAAAAACUUUAAACACAAGUUUUAAGUUUGAAAGAUGCAAUUGCAUCACUCAAAGAUGAUCCCGCGUUGUAUUAGCUAGUUGGUGAGGUAAAGGCUCACCAAGGCGAUGAUACAUAGCCGACCUGAGAGGGUGAUCGGCCACAUUGGGACUGAGACACGGCCCAAACUCCUACGGGAGGCGGCAGUAGGGAAUCUUCGGCAAUGGACGAAAGUCUGACCGAGCAACGCCGCGUGAGUGAAGAAGGUUGUCGGAUCGUAAAACUCUGUUGGUAGAGAAGAACGUUGGUGAGAGUGGAAAGCUCAUCAAGUGACGGUAACUACCCAGAAAGGGACGGCUAACUACGUG
rnacentral:rRNA from 1 species